GAUGAACGCUGGCGGCGUGCCUAAUACAUGCAAGUCGAACGCACAGCGAAAGGUGCUUGCACCUUUCAAGUGAGUGGCGAACGGGUGAGUAACACGUGGAUAACCUACCUCAAGGUUGGGGAUAACAUUUGGAAACAGAUGCUAAUACCGAAUAAAACUUAGUAUCGCAUGAUACCAGGUUAAAAGGCGCUACGGCGUCACCUAGAGAUGGAUCCGCGGUGCAUUAGUUAGUUGGUGGGGUAAAGGCUUACCAAGACAAUGAUGCAUAGCCGAGUUGAGAGACUGAUCGGCCACAUUGGGACUGAGACACGGCCCAAACUCCUACGGGAGGCUGCAGUAGGGAAUCUUCCACAAUGGGCGAAAGCCUGAUGGAGCAACGCCGCGUGUGUGAUGAAGGCUUUCGGGUCGUAAAGCACUGUUGUAUGGGAAGAACAGCUAGAGUAGGGAAUGACUUUAGUUUGACGGUACCAUACCAGAAAGGGACGGCUAAAUACGUGCCAGCAGCCGCGGUAAUACGUAUGUCCCGAGCGUUAUCCGGAUUUAUUGGGCGUAAAGCGAGCGCAGACGGUUAAUUAAGUCUGAUGUGAAAGCCCGGAGCUCAACUCCGGAAAGGCAUUGGAAACUGGUUAACUUGAGUGCAGUAGAGGUAAGUGGAACUCCAUGUGUAGCGGUGGAAUGCGUAGAUAUAUGGAAGAACACCAGCGGCGAAGGCGGCUUACUGGACUGUAACUGACGUUGAGGCUCGAAAGUGUGGGUAGCAAACAGGAUUAGAUACCCUGGUAGUCCACACCGUAAACGAUGAACACUAGGUGUUAGGAGGUUUCCGCCUCUUAGUGCCGAAGCUAACGCAUUAAGUGUUCCGCCUGGGGAGUAC
rnacentral:rRNA from 1 species